GUGCCAGCAGCGCGGUAAUACCGGCAGCCCGAGUGAUGGCCGAUCUUAUUGGGCCUAAAGCGUCCGUAGCUGGCCUCGCAAGUCCGUCGGGAAAUCCAUCAGCCCAACUGAUGGGCGUCCGGCGGAAACUACAAGGCUUGGGACCGGAAGGCUCGAGGGGUACGUCUGGGGUAGGAGUGAAAUCCCGUAAUCCCGAACGGACCACCGAUGGCGAAAGCACUUCGAGAAAACGGAUCCGACAGUGAGGGACGAAAGCUAAGAUCGCGAACCGGAUUAGAAACCCCUGUAGUCC
rnacentral:rRNA from 1 species